rnacentral:lncRNA from 1 species
AACUAGUGGGAGUUGUGAACUGCGAAAGGGUGGACAUUAAUGAAAUUCGGGUUGAAAGUUCUUUCACCUGAAGUUGCACCUGAGGCAGUUGUUUCUUCACAAUCGAACAACAUGCAAAUGCACUGAUCUCACUAGCUAAAAUAUAUAGUCAAUGAACUUGUCACAAUUCAAUUAGAGGCUAGUGAACCACAAGUACCUUUACAGCGCUCUGAUACCAAAUGUAAGAUAUACUUUUAUGAUUUCUAUAAUGAAA